rnacentral:rRNA from 1 species
AAACCAACAGGGAUUGCCUUAGUAGCGGCGAGUGAAGCGGCAAAAGCUCAAAUUUGAAAUCUGGCUCUUUCAGAGUCCGAGUUGUAAUUUGAAGAAGGUAUCUUUGGGUCUGGCUCUUGUCUAUGUUUCUUGGAACAGAACGUCACAGAGGGUGAGAAUCCCGUGCGAUGAGAUGAUCCAGGCCUAUGUAAAGUUCCUUCGAAGAGUCGAGUUGUUUGGGAAUGCAGCUCUAAGUGGGUGGUAAAUUCCAUCUAAAGCUAAAUAUUGGCGAGAGACCGAUAGCGAACAAGUACAGUGAUGGAAAGAUGAAAAGAACUUUGAAAAGAGAGUGAAAAAGUACGUGAAAUUGUUGAAAGGGAAGGGCUUGAGAUCAGACUUGGUAUUUUGUAUGUUACUUCUUCGGGGGUGGCCUCUACAGUUUAUCGGGCCAGCAUCAGUUUGGGCGGUAGGAGAAUUGCGUUGGAAUGUGGCACGGCUUCGGUUGUGUGUUAUAGCCUUCGUCGAUACUGCCAGCCUAGACUGAGGACUGCGGCUUAUACCUAGGAUGUUGGCAUAAUGAUCUUAAGUCGC